AAGUUGCAGAUUUCAGUGCACCUUUAAUUAACAUCCUGAGGACCCAUUGGAAGAGACAGGAGACUCCCCUGGGUUCGGGAUUCUGGGAAGCAUCAGAGGCUACAGGAAGAAGUGUUUUCAUGGAUCUUAACGACUAACAGAGUUCAUACAGAAGGGACUUGGGCCAGUUUGCAGAGACCAGGACAGUCACACUUCUUUUACCUGGGAAUUGCUGACAGAUGACAAAAGAGGGCAGAGCUGCCCACAAAGGCAAGGAGAGAAGUAAAUAGGUAGCUCCAGAAAAGAUCAACUCAGAGACAAAAGGAAAUCAGAAUGUGUAUAAUUUUUAUGCGUCAGUUAAAAAAACUCAAAUAAGAAGCCAACUUUUCAGGGUCCACCUCAGAUGUAGAUGACUCUGCCUCCGUGUAAUUGGUUGUGAAAAUGGGGGAUGGAAACUCUGCCUCUCAAGAAAGAGCUGGCAUUUUUUCUCCUACCCAGAGCCUGGCAGAGGCAGAGCGGGAAGCAGGGAAGGAGUCGGCCUUUCCUGCCAGCUGAGCUGUGCCUGAGACUCCUGGGCAGCGGAGGAACAAAGCUGGGAUCCAGCAAUAUCUUGCUGUGGCUGCUUCUGGCUCCUCCCUUGGCUGGAGGAGCUCAGGUGCACAGGUUGUGGCCUUCAGGUGGGUAGGCCUGUACCCCUGCCCUCACCAGACCCCAACACAGGAGCAGCCUGGAGCACACUGCAGAGGUGCCAAGGAAGUGAGAUUCCAGCAACUGGCUGUUCAACCCCAGCUGAAACUUUCCCCUGGUCAGGCUCCAC
ensembl:lncRNA